CAACCAUCAAGCCCUAGGCUUGUGUUGGGGCACUGCGGCUGCCGCAGGCCCCCAAAAGCAGUGGCGGACUCGCUGUCAUACCGAGCGUAGUAGCACAUCUCGCUCAGGGCGUGGCGGCGGGCACUGGCCGUAAAACACACCAAAACUCAA
rnacentral:misc_RNA from 1 species